CAGCCGCCGCGGUAAUGCGUAGGUGGCAAGCGUUGUCCGGAAUUAUUGGGCGUAAAGGGCUCGCAGGCGGUUUCUUAAGUCUGAUGUGAAAGCCCCCGGCUCAACCGGGGAGGGUCAUUGGAAACUGGGAAACUUGAGUGCAGAAGAGGUGAGUGGAAUUCCCAGUGUAGAGGUGAAAUUCGUAGAUAUUGGGAAGAACACCAGUGGCGAAGGCGGCUCACUGGACCGACACUGACGCUGAGGCGCGAAAGCGUGGGGAGCAAACAGGAUUAGAUACCCCCGUAGUCCCUGUCUCUUAUAC
rnacentral:rRNA from 1 species